UGGGUAACCUGCCUCAAAGAGGGGAAUAGCCUCCCGAAAGGGAGAUUAAUACCGCAUAAUAUGUUUAAGUCGCAUGACUUUAACAUCAAAGGAUUUUUCUUUUAGAAAUUCCACUUUGAGAUGGACCCGCGGUGCAUUAGCUAGUUGGUGAGGUAACGGCUCACCAAGGCAACGAUGCGUAGCCGACCUGAGAGGUGAUCGGCCACAUUGGAACUGAGACACGGUCCAGACUCCGUAGGAG
rnacentral:rRNA from 1 species